CCUACGGGAGGCAGCAGUGGGGAAUCUUGGACAAUGGGGGCAACCCUGAUCCAGCCAUGCCGCGUGAGUGAUGAAGGCCUUAGGGUCGUAAAGCUCUUUCGCCUGUGAAGAUAAUGACGGUAGCAGGUAAAGAAACCCCGGCUAACUCCGUGCCAGCAGCCGCGGUAAU
rnacentral:rRNA from 1 species